CCUUUGACGUUAGCGGCGACGGGUGAGUAACACGUGGGUAACCUACCUAUAAGACUGGGAUAACUUCGGGAAACCGGAGCUAAUACCGGAUAAUAUUUCGAACCGCAUGGUUCGAUAGUGAAAGGUGGUUUUGCUAUCACUUAUAGAUGGACCCGCGCCGUAUUAGCUAGUUGGUAAGGUAACGGCUUACCAAGGCGACGAUACGUAGCCGACCUGAGAGGGUGAUCGGCCACACUGGAACUGAGACACGGUCCAGACUCCUACGGGAGGCAGCAGGG
rnacentral:rRNA from 1 species